rnacentral:rRNA from 1 species
AUACCGGAUAAUAUUUUGAACCGCAUGGUUCAAAAGUGAAAGACGGUCUUGCUGUCACUUAUAGAUGGAUCCGCGCUGCAUUAGCUAGUUGGUAAGGUAACGGCUUACCAAGGCAACGAUGCAUAGCCGACCUGAGAGGGUGAUCGGCCACACUGGAACUGAGACACGGUCCAGACUCCUACGGGAGGCAGCAGUAGGGAAUCUUCCGCAAUGGGCGAAAGCCUGACGGAGCAACGCCGCGUGAGUGAUGAAGGUCUUCGGAUCGUAAAACUCUGUUAUUAGGGAAGAACAUAUGUGUAAGUAACUGUGCACAUCUUGACGGUACCUAAUCAGAAAGCCACGGCUAACUACGUGCCAGCAGCCGCGGUAAUACGUAGGUGGCAAGCGUUAUCCGGAAUUAUUGGGCGUAAAGCGCGCGUAGGCGGUUUUUUAAGUCUGAUGUGAAAGCCCACGGCUCAACCGUGGAGGGUCAUUG